UCCGUCUACGAAGCCGUUUCCGGGUCACGUGCACCCGUUUCCGGCGCCGAACGGUGGAGUGGCGCAGCCCGCCCGUUUUGUAGUGGGGGGCGGGGGGAGGUGGGGGGGGAGAUCCGGGAGCCGGUUUCCCCGUUCGGCUCACCCCGCCUCCUCCCUCCAGCCCCCCGCCCCGGAUCCCCGGGCUCCUCCCUCGGCCGGCCCCCGGGGCGGGGCCUCCCCCGCCCCGCUCCCCUCUCCUCUCUCUCCGUCCCCACGCCCCGCCUGCUUGGCUCCCAGACGCUCGGAGGGGGCUUUUCACUUGGCGGCUGCUGCGGGCUCUGGGAGCUGCGGGCGGCGGCGGCGCUUCCCUCCUGUCUGCGGCCACAAUGCAGUUUAUGUUGCUUUUUAGUCGUCAGGGAAAGCUCCGACUCCAGAAAUGGUAUGUCCCACUAUCGGACAAAGAAAAGAAAAAAAUCACAAGAGAACUUGUUCAAACAGUUUUAGCCCGUAAACCCAAAAUGUGCAGCUUUUUGGAGUGGCGAGAUCUGAAGAUUGUCUACAAAAGAUAUGCUAGCCUGUAUUUCUGCUGUGCUAUUGAAGAUCAGGAUAAUGAACUAAUUACCUUGGAAAUAAUUCAUCGUUACGUUGAACUACUUGACAAAUAUUUUGGCAGUGUGUGUGAACUUGAUAUCAUCUUUAAUUUUGAGAAAGCUUAUUUUAUUCUGGAUGAAUUUCUUUUGGGAGGAGAAGUUCAGGAAACAUCCAAGAAAAAUGUACUUAAAGCCAUUGAACAGGCAGAUCUUCUCCAAGAGAACCAGAAUGAAGACUGGGGAGGUUUGUCUGACGAUAUCUUAUGAUUAAGAACAAUAUAAGGCUUUAGUUUCCCUUCACCCCCACCCUAAUUAUUGGAAGCUGAAACCCCACGUAGUGUUCUUGAAGAAAUUGGACUGACAUAAGCCAUCUCCCAUGUUGAUGACAUCAUGUGGUCUCACAUACUGUAGAUGUUCACUGCCUUCAUGUCAAUGUUUAGCUAAUGGUGUAAGAUGCUGUUUGUCAGUAUUACUGUUUUGCUAAGCCGCUUCAUUCAGGCCUACAUAAAAACACUCCACUUUUUCAAAAGGGAAUAAAAAGUAUUAGCUUUUUUUUAAAGGGACUUAAGUUAACUAAAACUUGAUGCAGAAGAAAUAUCUUUUCAGUAUUCUCAAAGGUCGAAUUAUGUCAGUUUCCCAUUAAUUUUAUUUGUAUGUGAUAAUUAUGAAUAUACACGUAAAAUCACAAUCGGGAAGCACAUUUGUUGCUAUUACUGCAUUCAACUGAAAGGAAGCUACACUUGUAUCAACUUAAAAGUAAAUGUAAUAAUGUUUCAAUAUGGUUAUUUGCAACCAAAGACUAGUGUUACAUUUCAGUAUUUAUGGGAAUGAGAAAAAUUUGACUGAUUUUACAUAUCAAAAUGAUUUAAAUUUUAACAUUACCGCUGAAACUUAAAACACACAUAUGUAUACCAAAGAUACUUAUUUGGGAAUUACAUAUCUUGAACUGGUAGCUUAUUGAAAAAUACACAUUUCUGAGACUAAAGGGAUGUUACAUUAAAGGGAAUACAGGUUACUUUAAUCAAAACAAUUGUUUUACAUUGACUAUUAGUUGAAGGCAGGACUUUGGACUGAAGAGACUAUACUCCCAUAUGAGCACAUAAUGUACACUAUGAAAAUGGUUAAAGACAUUUUUUUCUAUGUAAGAUUCCUUUAAGCAUAAUUUUACAACUUAAAUGGAUUAUUUUUAUGCCCCCAGAUAUAUGGAUACUGCCACUAUUUAGCUCAUUUCUCCAUAAGCUAAGGAAAACAUCUACUUAUGUAAGAUGUUAUAAAUUAGAAUACUGAUUUGCCUAGUAUUGCUAUCUCAAAUAAACCUCAGCUCUGUUCACGAAUUAUCACAUGCCUAAGUUUGCUCCACUGUUGCCCUGGUUAACUAAAUUUUCCCAAUACUUUUUUAUGAAGUACCACUAUUUUAUGACAUUUUUCUCCUUUCAUGCCAUCUCCUAGUCAGAAAAUAUUCACCAUAUAUGUAGAUAUAUAUAUAUAUAUAUAUAUCACGUAAAAAUGUUAGCUGGAUGAGGUAAAAUGGCAAUGGGGGACUUAUUUUUUAAAGCUGUUACAAUUCAGUUUCAAUACCAUUUUCACAUGUAUUUAACAUGUCUUCAAAGUUUACACUUUCACUUGUUUGUAUGUGCUUGGCUGGAUUAAGCUUUGUUAUUGUGACCAAUAUUUAGGCUGUGAUCAUUGUCUUAUCACAUAUAUUAGUUAUAAUAAAUGUCCACUCUUACACCAUUGCAGUGUGUUUAUCUGUAUCACAAGGUUUGUUAGUAGAGAGCUUCUGGAAAGAGAGAUUCCACUGAGACAUAAAUAUGCUAAGCGUCAUUACUAAAAUGGAAAAAGUUAAACCUCAUUAAAUGUUAUUUUUACAAGUGAA